GCCCUAGAGGCUCAGUUUAGACCACAGUGAGACUCUUAAUCUCAGUGUUGUGGGUUUGAGCCCCAUGUUGGGCA